CAGUAGCCGCGGGAAUACGUAGGUGGCAAGCGUUGUCCGGAAUUAUUGGGCGUAAAGGGCUCGCAGGCGGUUUCUUAAGUCUGAUGUGAAAGCCCCCGGCUCAACCGGGGAGGGUCAUUGGAAACUGGGAAACUUGAGUGCAGAAGAGGAGAGUGGAAUUCCACGUGUAGUGGUGAAAUGCGUAGAGAUGUGGAGGAACACCAGUGGCGAAGGCGACUCUCUGGUCUGUAACUGACGCUGAGGAGCGAAAGCGUGGGGAGCGAACAGGAUUAGAGACCCCAGUAGUCCCUGUCUCUUAUAC
rnacentral:rRNA from 1 species